rnacentral:rRNA from 1 species
UACGUAGGGUGCAAGCGUUGUCCGGAAUUAUUGGGCGUAAAGAGCUCGUAGGCGGUUUGUCGCGUCGGCUGUGAAAACCCGGGGCUCAACCCCGGGCCUGCAGUCGAUACGGGCAAACUAGAGUGCGGUAGGGGAGACUGGAAUUCCUGGUGUAGCGGUGAAAUGCGCAGAUAUCAGGAGGAACACCGAUGGCGAAGGCAGGUCUCUGGGCCACUACUGACGCUGAGAAGCGAAAGCAUGGGGAGCGAACAGG